UCUAAAUAUUGUGCGAUGCAAAUCAUCUAUGUGCGUCGCAUGAAGGUCAUGGUGCGACGCACAAAACAAAGUAAUUUGCGUCGGACCCCUUAGCCCAUCUGACGCAGAUCAGCCCAAAAGCCCAAUUUAUUUCUAACCCCAUAACCAGCGCCUCUCUCUUAACAUCUCAAACCCUAAAGCUUCUCAAAACCACCCGCCUCCCUUUCGUCCCUCUCAACCCGCCUCCCUCUCUUUCUCUCUCACUUUCGUCCCUCUCAACCCGCCUCCCUCUCUUUCUCUCUCACUUUCGUCCCUCAAACCCUAAAAUUUCGUCCCUCAAACGCAUCAGGAAGUCCCUCUCUUUGUCUCUCACUUUCGUCCCUCUUCUUCACGUCGAACAAAUCAUUUUCUCUUCAACAUCUGCUUCAGUUCGCAUCAACCGACGAUCGAAUCUUCGACGCCAUGACCUUCAGUGAGCGAUCUUCAGCGUCGACGACACCAACAACAGCAACAACACUUCGAACAACGAACGAAUCUUCAGCGAACGAACGAAUCUUCAGGUAACUUAUUUUUUUUUCUUUUUCUUUUUCUUUUUCUUGUUUUUAUUCUCCUGUUUUAAUUUUUCGUAAUUUGUCAUUUUUUUCAGAAUUCAGAUCUUGUUUGAAGACCUCGUUUUUUCAUCCUAAAAUCUCCUGAUGUGUUCGAAGUAUAACAACGAGAAGGAAGGUCAAGAUGUGAAGGAAGCUCCAACAUUUUUUUACUAUUAUUGAUAGAUUUGUUUUUAUGAAUUAUUGUAAUAUAUAUGUUCUAAAAUUCGAAGCAUUUUCGUUUUUAUUUUUCCAGAUCUGGUCGAAUUUUUGUACAGUAUUGUUAUUAGUUUUAUUUGAUUUUCAAUCCUCUA